rnacentral:misc_RNA from 1 species
CAUUCCUUUGCGACAACACAACCCGAGCGAUUCUCCCCCACCAAUAUUAGAUGUGGCAGAAUCGGCAACGGCAGCGAACGUCGUUCCUUUCGGGGCACAAGGCCACCGUACGGGGAAUAUAAGGGAGGAAAACCCCCCGCCCACCAAACUUUCCGCAUCCAAAAACACGAGCAAUGGACAUAUGGGCCAACGCAACCAGUUCGUGGCAUGCGCGGAACAAAUGCACCGCUACGAGGUCGGCCCCGUGCCGUGACAGGCAAAGGGCGAAGGGGAACAAGGGUCGUAUUCGAUUUCCACCGUAGUGGGUAAGCAGCACAGGAACCUAUCGUCGCCACGAAACAGUUUCGGGCGCUUAUACAUGAAGGGACAGAGGGAAAAUAGUUCGGUGCGCGAAGCAUGGAGCCUACAUUCCCAAACGAUCCUAACACCACUCACGCGC